UCAGCAGAGGAGCAUCCUCCUCUCCUCUGCCCAGGCUGGGCGGGGGAGGGGAACCAGGUAGGCCUGGCUGAGGUAGGCCCCAGGCCCCAGGGGGUGAGAAAAGAGAGAACGGAACUGGAUCUGAGCCAGCCCCAUCCAGGAUGGAGGGGUGGAGAACUUUGGAGGCAGAGGAGAACUGCUCUCAGACAUUGAUUCUCAUGGCUGGUGGUUUCAGAAGAGAGGACAGCCUGGGACCAAGAUGAUAAAGGAAGAUGAAAAGAACCCCUCCUGAUUGCUAGCAGGUUCAAGCAGUCACAUCACCCAUCAUCUUCAAGGAGUGAAAAGGGACACAUUGCAUAGCCUUUGUGGCUAGAUCAACAACAGAAGAGUGACUGCAAAAGAGAUGACUACGAGUCUGAAAAUUAUAGAGACAAUUUAAUAAUAGAAGUCCUGUAUCUCUAUGUCUUCGGUUAAUGGACCUUUCCCUGAGUUUUAUUUAUUUGGACUCUAAAGCAAAAAUUACUAAUUUUCCUAAAAAGAUGUAAUUGUACCUCAUGUAAUAUCUCAGAUGCCUUUGGUGUAUUUUGUAGUUACCAAGGCCUGUGGUGUUACUUUGUGGUGAUUUGGGUCAUGCAGGUUUUGAGAAUCUGGUUCAUCACCAAUUCAGAUGUACAUCCUACAGGUAUCAUUGGCCAAUUGAGUGAAUAAUGGUCUGAUCCUGCAUAUCCUGCAAUGGGUCUCUCUAAAACAUACAAGCUACAAACCCGUGCAGCUGCUAUCUGAACUGCAAUGGUAAAAAAGUGUAAGUGCAAAUACACAGAUUUCCAAAAGCUCUGAAAGUGCUUUGGAGAUUCACGGUAGCUUGCAGCCUUUAUCAGAGUGGACUUUUGCUCCUUGGGAAGUAGAUCAUCUCAUCAACCUUCUCAUCCAUAGCAUGGUCAUGGGCUGUCAUUUCGGCCCUGACACACAUCCUCACAUGCCUUUGCUUCAAAACAAAAAAAACCCAAAAAAACCUCCCAAAGAUCCAAAAAAACCCAAAAGCCACAAAACCCCCCCCAGCACUCAUGCUGUUUUAAUUGCUCAAUUGAUGACCAAAUGCCGUUAACAGUGUUUGCAAUUAAUGGCAGGUGAUCCUGCAAAAAUUGGUCUUCCAGUAUAGCAGGAAGACUUUUAAUGGAGCUUUGUUAACAGCAAAAAGCACUCCUUUGUAAAAUGUGCUGCCAAUUUUCAGGGCAGAUUGCUUACUACCUGCACAGUUAUAAAUUAUUGAAAUCUAUAAAAUCAAUCAAUUUGUCAUUGCAGCUGAAAAUAGCUGGGUGCCAGUGCAAGGACCACCAUCUUUUAUUGACAGCUCAUAAAAGGAAAAGCCAUUGUUACCUGGAAGGAUGAAUCUGACUGGCAAAUGCUAGAAGGUCACUAACCAGGCUCAGCCCAGUUGGCUGAAUUGAGAGCUGUUGCCAUGGCAUUCCAGCAAUUUCUUCAAGUACCCCUGAAUCUUGUUGCCAUGAGGUUUUUUCCUGGUUUGCCAAGCAUUCAUAUUAAAGGAGAAAUGUGCAGUCUCUCACGGUCAUGAAUGUAAACACAGGACCAUGUUUUGUAAACACUGCCCUUGUUAUGAAUUCCUUCUCAAGGAGAAGGAGAGGUUGAAUGCCAGCCAAUGGGACCAAUGUGGUGGGGAGGUGGGAAUUCCAUCCUCCAAUCCACAGGCCUCAUAGGAAAUGUAUAAAAGUGGGGUUUUGUAAAUAAACUUGGUCUUCCUGCCCUGCAUGCUCGAUGAACCCAGAUCUGUCCCCGAGUCUCAUUUCUGGUUAGGCCCCGCGGUGAUAGAAUCUGGUCAUUGAAUCUGCUUAUUUGGCAGAUAUAACCAAAUGUUCAGA